UACGUAGGGGGCGAGCGUUAUCCGGAUUUAUUGGGCGUAAAGGGUGCGUAGGCGGUAUGUUAAGUCUAAAAUCAAAGCCCGAGGCUUAACCUCGGUUCGUUUUAGAAACUGGCAAACUAGAGUGCAGUAGAGGCAAGUGGAAUUUCUAGUGUAGCGGUGAAAUGCAUAGAUAUCACGCAGAACUCCGAUUGCGAAGGCAGCAUACCGGCGCCCUACUGACGCUGAGGCACGAAAGCGUGGGUAUCGAACAGG
rnacentral:rRNA from 1 species